rnacentral:rRNA from 1 species
UACGAAGGGGGCUAGCGUUGCUCGGAAUCACUGGGCGUAAAGCGCACGUAGGCGGAUUGCUAAGUCAGGGGUGAAAUCCUGGAGCUCAACUCCAGAACUGCCUUUGAUACUGGUGAUCUUGAGUCCGGGAGGGGUGAGUGGAACUGCGAGUGUAGAGGUGAAAUUCGUAGAUAUUCGGAAGAACACCAGUGGCGAAGGCGGCUCACUGGACCGGUAUUGACGCUGAGGUGCGAAAGCGUGGGGAGCAGACAGG